CCCUGCCUAUGCUAAAUUAUUUUAUUCAUUGGAAUUCAUCACCUGAAAUGUGCAAAUAAAGAAAGAAGUAGUUUUCUUAUUCAAAAUGCGUAUAGGAAACGAAGUCUAUUACAAUAUUUAACUAUGCCCUCAAUCUCGAGCCAGAAAUAACAAAUUGAAGUCAUGUUUGAAGAUAGUGAAGGGCAGAAAGCCACGUUUAUUACAAUAUUUCUCCUUCUCCUGCCGCUCCUUCUCCUGCCGCUGCAUCUCCUCCUCCUGCUUCUUGUUGUUCUUCUUCUGAUGAUGAUGAUGAUGAUGAUUCUCCAGAUGAACUUUCUUCUUGAAAGGGAAUACCUGGACAAAGUUAUAUACAAACUUUGAGAAGAAUUAGAAAUGAUUUACACUUGUUUCAAGUAAAAAAUCAGACCUACAAAUUAGAGAAUGCCACCAAAGUCAAACAAAGAAGGCGCCCAAAUCGCAAUGUCUCUAUGAAAAUGUUCAUUGGCUCAGUUGCAUGUUUUAACUUUUAAAUAUAAAUUUGAAAGGAAUAGAUAAUCCUGACCUUAAGUCUCAUUUAGGACAUCACAAGAACUAAAAUACAAAAUUCAGCGGAAACAAACUGGUAC
rnacentral:lncRNA from 1 species